AUUGAACGCUGGCGGCAGGCUUAACACAUGCAAGUCGAGCGAGCGGCGGACGGGUGAGUAAUGUCUGGGAAACUGCCUGAUGGAGGGGGAUAACUACUGGAAACGGUAGCUAAUACCGCAUACCAUCAGAUGUGCCCAGAUUGGAUUAGCUAGUAGGUGGGGUAAUGGCUCACCUAGGCGACGAUCCCUAGCUGGUCUGAGAGGAUGACCAGCCACACUGGAACUGAGACACGGUCCAGACGCCUACGGGAGGCAGCAGUGGGGAAUAGUGCACAAUGGGCGCAAGCCUGAUGCAGCCAUGCCGCGUGUGUGAAGAAGGCCUGCGGGUUGUAAAGCACUUUCAGCGAGGAGGCGUGACUCGCAGAAGAAGCACCGGCUAACUACGUGCCAGCAGCCGCGGUAAUUC
rnacentral:rRNA from 1 species